UGGGGAAUUUUGGACAAUGGGGGAAACCCUGAUCCAGCCAUCCCGCGUGUGCGAUGAAGGCCUUCGGGUUGUAAAGCACUUUUGGCAGGAAGAAACGUCAUGGGUUAAUACCCCGUGAAACUGACGGUACCUGCAGAAUAAGCACCGGCUAACUACGUGCCAGCAGCCGCGGUAAUACGUAGGGUGCAAGCGUUAAUCGGAAUUACUGGGCGUAAAGCGUGCGCAGGCGGUUCGGAAAGAAAGAUGUGAAAUCCCAGAGCUCAACUUUGGAACUGCAUUUUUAACUACCGGGCUAGAGUGUGUCAGAGGGAGGUGGAAUUCCGCGUGUAGCAGUGAAAUGCGUAGAUAUGCGGAGGAACACCGAUGGCGAAGGCAGCCUCCUGGGAUAACACUGACGCUCAUGCACGAAAGCGUGGGGAGCAAACAGG
rnacentral:rRNA from 1 species